rnacentral:rRNA from 1 species
CCUACGGGUGGCAGCAGUGGGGAAUAUUGCACAAUGGGGGAAACCCUGAUGCAGCGACGCCGCGUGAGUGAAGAAGGAAUUCGUUAUGUAAAGCUCUAUCAACAGGGAAGAAAAUGACGGUACCUGAGUAAGAAGCCCCGGCGAACUACGUGCCAGCAGCCGCGGUAAUACGUAGGGGGCAAGCGUUAUCCGGAUUUACUGGGUGUAAAGGGAGCGUAGACGGCAGUGCAAGUCUGGAGUGAAAGGGGGGGGCUCAACCCCCGGACUGCUCUGGAAACUGUACGGCUGGAGUGCAGGAGAGGUAAGUGGAAUUCCUAGUGUAGCGGUGAAAGGCGUAGAUAUUAGGAGGAACACCAGUGGCGAAGGCGGCUUACUGGACUGUAACUGACGUUGAGGCUCGAAAGCGUGGGGAGCAAACAGGAUUAGAUACCCUGUAGUC